rfam:Tupaia chinensis contig173137, whole genome shotgun sequence.
UCAACGGCUCUUUUUAGAGCCAUUCAUAUUUUCCGAAAGAGAGCUG